rnacentral:tRNA from 1 species
GCCCGGUUGCUCAGUUGGUAGAGCAUCAGACUUUUAAUCUGAGGGCCAUGGGUUCGAGUCCCAUAUCGGGCU